rnacentral:tRNA from 1 species
GGGCGCUUAGCUCAGCUGGCGAGAGCGCUGCCCUUACAAGGCAGAGGCCGCAGGUUCGAGUCCUGCAGCGCCCACCA